UGUAGGACAACCAUGGGCUGACAAGACAUCCACAUGCAUAUAAAAAUCACCACAUCAAGGCAUUAAUUUUUCUGAAAAUUUUUGCCUCCAAGUGCUAUGCAAAUUAAGCAGUUCACCUUCACUUUCCCCUGGUGGAAAAUAGGCUGAAUCAAGAGAGGACUUACAAACAGGACUUGACAAAGUGUGUAAUUCUUUAGAGCAAUUAGGGUCCCAGCAUGGGACAGGAGCUGUGCACUUCACCACUCUUGCCUGUGUUCGUAUCUUUACGUUCACUUGAGAAGUUUGACAUUGCUCAACUAACAAAAAAUGGCCGAAACAUUUGAAUGAAGCAAAUGCCAGACAAAAAAUGAACUGUCUCACAAGUCAGCUCUGAAGCUCUUAAGCCAACCCUCUUUCCCUGCAGCCAGCCUGAUGCCACAAUAUUGCCAUAGUUUUGACAGGAAGUCCCACCUGAAGAAGGGAAAAGAGAAACUGUGAAGCCAGGCAUUACCUUAGCAGAACCACACCGACGCAGUGGAUGACAGCAAAGAAGGAAUUUUGGCAACAACCUCUCGAGGAUUUUGCUGCUCCUCAGGGGAUCUUCUGACUCAAUGAAGGGCACUUACAAGGUGGAAAAAUGACAGGCUGUGCAUCCUCCAUCCUUGGAGAUUUUCAAGACUGGAUAAAACUACGAGCAAUCUGGUCAGAUCUUCAGCCAACCCUGAUUUCAACAAGAGGUCAUUCUGGAAACCUCCAGAGGUGUCUUCCAAUCUGAACUAUGCUGUGCCCAUUGCAACAUAAGGAUUGUGUGGUGCUGCUGCCCGUGCUUAGCAGAAUAGCAACUUCUGGCCUUUAUUUCCUGGCCAGAACCAAGUAUUUGAUCUCUGCUAAAGACAAACUCUUCCAUUUUUCAUGCUUCACCAGAAAGAGUCACUGGGUAUGGCUGCAGAAGCAGCUCGAUCCCAUAAUGCAAGACUUAUCCACAGGCAUUUCCAGCUAGCUUAAAUUGUGAGCUCUUAAACCAAUGAGUACUGACACUUUGCAUUGCACUGUGUGGACAUAAAAUGUAGCUGGGCAUUUAAGUAAUGAGCAGAAAUUUCUCUUAAUCUUGUCAUAUUCCCUUGAAGGCAGUCAUGAAGUACAACACAGUUUAUUCCCUAGUGCCUAUCAUGCCUCACCUUAUGAAUAAUUCAAACAUACAACUUUGCUUCCAUUUUUUAGAAUUCUGCUGAUUCUUUUUUGUUCUUUCCGUGCCUAUCUUUCCAUUUACUGGCAAGUAUUUUCUCUUCAUUUGUGCAUAUAAACCACAUAAUAACACCAAGGUUAUGCACUCUCAAGGCUACUCUUCCACACAACCUUUCCUCAUGAUGAGCAGUGCUUGUAAAUGUACUGAAGCUGAGAAGAGACACAGGGAGCACGCUGCCCUAGUAAAUUUGUCUGAGCUCUCACUACAAUAAAAUAACCUAGAAUGUAGCGCAAAGAAAAGG